GACGAACCUGGCGGCGUGCUAACAACAAGCCAAGUCGAACGGAAAGGCCUGCAGCUUGCUGCGGGUACUCGAGUGGCGAACGGGUGAGUAACACGUGGGUGAUCUGCCUUGCACUUCGGGAUAAGCUUGGGAAACUGGGUCUAAUACCGGAUAGGACAGCUGUUUAGUGUCAGUUGUGGAAAGUUUUUUCGGUGCAAGAUGAGCUCGCGGCCUAUCAGCUUGUUGGUGGGGUAAUGGCCUACCAAGGCGUCGACGGGUAGCCGGCCUGAGAGGGUGUACGGCCACAUUGGGACUGAGAUACGGCCCAGACUCCUACGGGAGGCAGCAGUGGGGAAUAUUGCACAAUGGGCGGAAGCCUGAUGCAGCGACGCCGCGUGGGGGAUGAAGGCCUUCGGGUUGUAAACUCCUUUCGACAGGGACGAAGCGUAAGUGACGGUACCUGUAUAAGAAGCACCGGCUAACUACGUGCCAGCAGCCGCGGUAAUACGUAGGGUGCGAGCGUUGUCCGGAAUUACUGGGCGUAAAGAGCUCGUAGGUGGUUUGUCGCGUCGUCUGUGAAAUUCCGGGGCUUAACUCCGGGCGUGCAGGCGAUACGGGCUGACUUGAGUGCUGUAGGGGAGACUGGAAUUCCUGGUGUAGCGGUGAAAUGCGCAGAUAUCAGGAGGAACACCGAUGGCGAAGGCAGGUCUCUGGGCAGUAACUGACGCUGAGGAGCGAAAGCAUGGGUAGCGAACAGGAUUAGAUACCCUGGUAGUCCAUGCCGUAAACGGUGGGCGCUAGGUGUAGGGGGCUUCCACGUCUUCUGUGCCGUAGCUAACGCAUUAAGCGCCCCGCCUGGGGAGUACUGCCGCAAGG
rnacentral:rRNA from 1 species